UUGAAACAACAGUAGACUGUGAUAAUCAUUUCUUUCAUCUUUUCAAUUUAUCUUUAUGGCUUUUCUGAUUCUUUCUUCUAUUUUAUUGUUAUUAUUUUUAAUCCUUUCGUUUCUCUUUGUAAAUGCUUGCUCAGGGUAUACCAGCUGGCUUUGUCAAUCAACAUGUGGAUAAAAAGUACAGUGAUGUCAUCCUCAAAGCUAUGGAUGGGAGGAGUUGGCCUGUCAAGUGCUAUAAAUCGAAAACAAAUGGAAGAACAACUGCAAAACUCUAUAAUGGAUGGAAGAAAUUCACACAGGAAAAUAGUUUGGAAGUUGGUGAUGUUUGUGCUUUUGAGCUGGUCAGUAGCAAAGAAACUACAUUUAGAGUUGUCAAAUUCCGCAAUGGGAAAGAUGCAAGUAGUAGCCCAUCAUUCGGUAACAGCGAGGAAUUGAAUCAUGAAAAACAGAAUGCGACCGGUAAGAAGAUAAUUAAAGGGACUUAUGAUGAAGCUGCAAACAAACUUACAGAAAACAUUCUUCAAAGUGGUCAUCAAGUCAGGCUAUCUGAAGCGUUUCCCUCUGCAUGUACCACUGAAUUUUAUGGCAAAAUGUAGCAAUCAAAGCACAACGAACGUAACGUUACAGGUUAAAAACAGACAGUGGAAUGUGAAACUUAUCAGUUAUGCCUCUAGAGGUAUAUUAUCAGCCGGACGGCCUGCAUUUGCACAUAACAAUGUACAAGCAGGUGAUGUUUGCAUCUUUGAGCUGAUUAAUGCCGCAAAAGGUCUCGAUUUUGAGGAGACAUGGUCUUUCUUCAACUGAGAGGGCAUUGCAUUAGGUUGCUCCAUUAAAUGGGUGUACAAUUUACGAUCAAAGUUGCAUUCACCUGUCUCUGCCUGUUCAAAUUCAUUUUCACAUUUAAGCUACCCUUCUGCCCCUCCGGCUACUUCACGUGCUUCCAUUUACAUGUUAUAAAUAAACUGUGCUGUGGUCUCCCUCCCGAGGAUAAAACACAACAAGAAGAAACUUUGUUAACUGGAAAUUUUCAAUAGAAAGCUGCCAUUCUAGAAUGGAAUCUUGUCCCAGAAGAGACAAUAGGCGCUUGAUGUUUAAGCCACCAAAACCACAUUUUUUCAAGAAAAUUUUUUAUGAUGACAUUCAUAAUGGAAAACUAGUAAGUAUUCUUAUUUUUCUGUUCAUAUAUAUGUUUCUUAUAUAAUAUCAUAUGCAUGGAUACACAAAAAGUUCUGUCCACUACUCUUCCUACUUUUAGCUAUCUCUCUGUCUCUCUUUUUCUUCUUGUCAUAAAUUAUUUUCGUUAUCACUUCAAAUAUGUAGACCUUAUGAAAACAGCAUUUUCCUGGGUUAGAUUUCUUUAGAGAAACAGAAUUUAUCUAAUUUUAUUUUGGAUAAUUUUUUGUACAAAGGACUUAUU